AUUGAACGCUGGCGGUAGGCCUAACACAUGCAAGUCGAACGGCAGCACAGUAAGAGCUUGCUCUUACGGGUGGCGAGUGGCGGACGGGUGAGGAAUACAUCGGAAUCUACUUUUUCGUGGGGGAGAACGUAGGGAAACUUACGCUAAUACCGCAUACGACCUACGGGUGAAAGCAUGGGAUCUUCGGACCUUGCGCGAUUGAAUGAGCCGAUGUCGGAUUAGCUAGUUGGCGGGGUAAAGGCCCACCAAGGCAACGAUCCGUAGCUGGUCUGAGAGGAUGAUCAGCCACACUGGAACUGAGACACGGUCCAGACUCCUACGGGAGGCAGCAGUGGGGAAUAUUGGACAAUGGGCGCAAGCCUGAUCCAGCCAUACCGCGUGGGUGAAGAAGGCCUUCGGGUUGUAAAGCCCUUUUGUUGGGAAAGAAAAGCAGCAGGUUAAUACCCCGCUGUUCUGACGGUACCCAAAGAAUAAGCACCGGCUAACUUCGUG
rnacentral:rRNA from 1 species